AUGAUGGUUGAAUUCGAGGAUGGAGGUGGAAGGAUUCCAUACAGUCCGACAUGCCUAUUAAUUUGCAAGGAGACCAAGUGAAGCCAGUACUUGACCUGGUAAAUCCUCAACGUAAAUUAUUGAGGAGGGUCCAAUAACUGUAGCUCCACCAGAGACAAUUAGAAAGUUGGAGCAGGCAGCUUGAAGGCUGGCUAAAAGUGUUAACUAUGUUGGAGCAGCUACUGUUGAGUAUCUGUACAGUAUGGACACUGGCGAGUACUAUUUCUUAGAGUUGAACCCUCGAUUGUAGGUGGAGCACCCGGUCACUAAGUGGAUAGCAGAAAUAAAUCUGCUAGCAGACCAAGUUGCAGUUGGGAUGGGCAUUCCUCUUUGGCAAAUUCCUGGUA